rnacentral:lncRNA from 13 species
CCUGCUGGAGCUAAUGGGCUAACCCAGUGCUUCCUCUCUCCACCCCCGCUGCAGAGGGACAGAUGGUACAUACUGUUGGUGCUGCUCUAACUGCUCUGUCAUUGAUUCAGUAGUAACACAGUCGUCAGUCCACAGCCUGCCUGCCUGCAGAGAGAGAGCCAAAACAGGAAGAGAGAAAGAGAGGACACAAGGAGAGAAGAAAAGAGAGUGAUUGUGAGAGAGAGAAGCAGGGAAAGCGUCCAGCCAUCUUUCUGUCUCCAGUCUGAAAGCCACAGACGCCCUCUUUGUUUGGCGUCCCUGAUAUGACCCUGUUCAAAAGUGAGCACCACCGCAGCCCACGAUACAUUAGCAUGAGUGGAGAGCUGAAGUCCAGCCGUUCCAGGACCAGCAGCAAGAGACCCAGCAGCAAUCCAUACGGGAUGUAUGACUACCAGCGUGUGCCAGCUUCCCUACCUCCCCUGUCCCAGGGACCUAGCCUGGCCAAACGACCCCGCUCCUCCUCCACUUCCUCUGGGCACAGACGCAGCCGAGACAGGCCCCCCUCCAAGAGCUCCAGAGCCCACUCCACCAGCUCCAACAGGGCCAAGUUGAGAAUGGAGGAGCUGCAGGUCAUUAAGAGGGAGCUGACUCUGAUAAAGACACAGAUUGACGGGCUGCUUGACAACCUGGACAGGAUGGACACACAGAGGCAGGACCACACAGGGUCUCCCGUGAGGGAGGGCAGCCUGGCCGGGUCACCGUACUCCCCCUCCGCCAGCAGUGGUGAGCGCUCACCCUCCCCCCUGUCCCCCCCACGCCGCUGCAUCCAGAGAGAGAGCCCCGAACUGGGGGAGGCCAGCGACGAUGAUCCCACGAUGAAUAACCACAGCUCUGACCCUGAGGACGAGAUGUGA